rnacentral:tRNA from 1 species
GCCUGGGUGGCUCAGUUGGUUGAGCUUCUGACUUCGGCUCAGGUCAUGAUCUCACGGUUCAUGGGUUCAAGCCCCGCGUCGGGCU